AUUGAACGCUGGCGGCAGGCUUAACACAUGCAAGUCGAGCGAGCGGCGGACGGGUGAGUAAUGUCUGGGAAACUGCCUGAUGGAGGGGGAUAACUACUGGAAACGGUAGCUAAUACCGCAUACCAUCAGAUGUGCCCAGAUGGGAUUAGCUAGUAGGUGGGGUAAUGGCUCACCUAGGCGACGAUCCCUAGCUGGUCUGAGAGGAUGACCAGCCACACUGGAACUGAGACACGGUCCAGACUCCUACGGGAGGCAGCAGUGGGGAAUCUUGCGCAAUGGGCGCAAGCCUGAUGCAGCCAUGCCGCGUGUGUGAAGAAGGUCUUCGGGUUGUAAAGCUCUUUCAGCAGAGAAGCGUUACUCACAGAGGAAGCACCGGCUAACUCCGUGCCAGCAGCCGCGGUAAUAC
rnacentral:rRNA from 1 species